UGAAGAAUCCCAUCUGUUAGUAGACAGCAAAGAAGAAACUUAACUUAAGCUGUCUUUCUGAAAUAAAUAAUAAUAAUAAUCCUGUCUACACCUUAAAAACACUCUAAUAUCCACACAGCCUACUCUGUCUCAUUCCUCUGUCCAUUUUUUUUUUUAAGGCAGUUCUGGGGAGAGAGGUUUGGAAUCAACUUUUGAAAAUAAUAUUGUGUUUAAAGAAUGGGAGAGGAAUAAAGUUACUGCUUAAAAAUAUCGUUCUAAUUUCAACUUCCAUGUUCUUCCAUAAUUGCUUGGAAGAGCUAAUUAGACUUUGGGGAACAAAGAGUAUGUUUAUACUAUACAAUGCAGCCUGAUGCAAGCUGGCUUUUGAACCAAAAUAGUUGACUGACUGUAUUAGUGUAGCACUGAGCAGAAAAAUAAAAAUAAAAAAAAAUCAUAAGACUUGCUGAGAGGUUACCGAAUAUUUUGCAGUGGGUAGCCAGCAUUUGGUCAUGUGCAUACAAACUGCCCUUCCUUCUCUCUCUCCUCCUGGGCUCAUCUUUUGGAUCUGGUAUCAUACUAUGGAUUUGCUGCUGCAUGUUCUGGGUAGAACACAUCAAUCAGUAAUGCUUAUUGCCAGGAGUUUUGAGGUGAUCCUAUGAAAAUAUCUGGCCUAGCUCUUAGAUUGGUUAGUCCAGAUAUUAGCUAAAUUAUUUGUUGUGCCCCCAGCAUGCAAGGACUUGAUGUAGAUACCUAUUGUCAGGGAAAAUACUGACAUAAAUCGGAUUUUCAAAGGUUUAACUACCUGCAGAGGUUCUAAGGAUUCCAAAGAACUGCAUGAAAGAUAUCCAAGACAUGCAUCAUUUGUUUUUCUUGUUCCCUAAGCAACAAUGUUGACCUCAUUGCUGCCAGAAAGAGUAGUUCACGUAGGAUGUCCAGAAACCAAUCCAGGGAAAGCCCAUGAUCUACGGUUUCCUAAUUCCUGUUUCCAGCUGCCUUCAUUGUGGAAAAGAGGAAGAUAUACUACUUGCAUCAGCUGUACCCUCCUUGGAACAGGGUGAAAGCCACUUAAUAAGUGGGAUUCAGCAGCUGAAGCACAGGUGUGUAGUGAGUGACAUUGCAGCUCCUGGUGUUCAAGAUAUCCAUGUCAGGAUGGCCAAAAUGCCACAGGGCUGACAAGAAGCCCAUAUCCUUCCUGUAAGGCACACAGAGCGGAGACAGAAUACACUCUACAGUAUCUAAAAUGUUGCUUAGAUUCAUCUAAAAGAUAAUUUGGUAUAAAAACCUUUCUGUUCUCAUAUUUUUUUCUGCAAUUUCUCUAUUUUCAUAAGCUAUCUGUUCUGUGAAAAACAAACAAGGAAAAAAAAGCAAUAGAAAUGAAGGUUGAAAAUUAAAAUAAAAAUAAAAUAAAGAGCA
ensembl:lncRNA